rnacentral:rRNA from 1 species
GACGAACGCUGGCGGCGUGCCUAACACAUGCAAGUCGAGCGGAGACAGUGAGUAGCUUGCUACGAGCUGUUUUAGCGGCGGACGGGUGAGUAACGCGUGAGCAACCUUUCCCAGACAGGGGAAUAACACACCGAAAGGUGUACUAAUACCGCAUAAGACCACGGGAUCACAUGGUUCUGGGGUAAAAGAUUUAUCGGUUUGGGGUGGGCUCGCGUCCGAUUAGGUAGUUGGUGAGGUAACGGCCCACCAAGCCGACGAUCGGUAGCCGACCUGAGAGGAUGAACGGCCACAUUGGGACUGAGACACGGCCCAAACUCCUACGGGAGGCAGCAGUGGGGAAUAUUGGACAAUGGGCGAAAGCCUGAUCCAGCGACGCCGCGUGAGCGAUGAAGUAUUUCGGUAUGUAAAGCUCUAUCAGCAGGGAAGAAAACGACGGUACCUGACUAAGAAGCCCGGCUAACUACGUGCCAGCAGCCGCGGU